rnacentral:lncRNA from 1 species
CCCAGGGUGCACACGCGACUGAGGGUAGGGCAGAGGUGCUAGGCUGAUGGGCAGAGUCCUCACCAUUCCAGGGCGUCUCCAUGGCCGGGCCAUCCUAGGGCAAGCUCUAGGGUCAGGGUGCGGAGUCCUGCGUCCCCUGGGCCACAGGGCGCGCGGGAGUGGGGCCCCGCCCCCUUGUACCAAGGAUGGCCAUUCUCAGGUGCCCUGAGGCCCCCAGCCUGGGAGAAGCAUGCCUGGCUUUGAUUCCCCGUCAGGGACCCACCGUGCCCUUGGAAAAGGCCUUCCACUCCCUGGGGUCCUUACCGGCCCAGAGCAGCUGGACUUGCAGGACAGCGGGGGUCCUGGGUGGUGCAGGGGAGGCCGAACCCUGCAUGUGGAGGGGGGUGUCCUUGCUUGCAGCCUCGGGCUCCCGUUUGGAAGUGUAUGGGGUAGACUGGACACCCCCCUUACGAGUGGACUGCGCUCCCCCGGGCCAGUGGAGGGAAAGAGGGGUCAAGGGAGCCUUCCGACACCCCUCUCAUCUCUCCUGGAGUUUACAGCUCCCCUUCAUUGGCCCCCUCAGCCCUGAGAGUCUUACUGCCUUGAGGACACCCACACCCAGGUAGGUAAAGAAGAACGUGAAGGCGCUGAGCUUGUGGCUCUGACCAAGAAUCACUGGCAGACAGUGAUCCAAGGCCCCUACAGACCUGGAUAUGAGGUUGGUGGGAUGUUGUGAUAGAAAACGCUGAUGACCCCAGUAUCCAGUCGCUGUUGAUUUUCCAAGUAACUGAACUUCCUUCUAAGUUUUAGCUAGGAAUGUGGCCACACACACCAACCAUAUUCCUCCAUUCCCUUCCAUCUUCACAACAGAGUUCAGGCAAGUUGAAUGGAGUGAAGGGAAUGUGUGCGUGUGUGGUGUGUGCAUGUGUGUGCGUGCAUGUGUGCGUGUGUGUGCGUGUGCACCUCAGCCACAGAACUCUCUGCUCUGGACUUUCCUUUCCCAUUUGCUAUAGAACAUGGACAUAGCAGUGGCCUGGCUUCAAAUCUGCAAAGUAGAAAAAGCCCCCAGGGCAGAGAAUCUUAGCCUAGGUUUCCAUGAACUAGUUAUGAAAAUAAUAAUUGUUACCUUAUUUGUAUGAACUUCUAAAAAAAUUAUCAUUGCCUUUAACUAGGAAAGAGGAAAAAAGAAACAAUAGCAUUAGUAGUGCCCCUGAUUCACCAACUGAAACGUUAGAUGAUUUCAUAUCAUAUCACAGGAAUGAACGAGACUUCAAAAUAAGUGUACCAUUUAUGCUCAUCACCACUUCAAAGUGAUGCUGGGCACGAAGUUCCUCCUUUAGAUUAGGUUAUUUAAUGUCUUAUUAAAGACGCCUAUGUUACCACAUCACAAUUUUCAAAUAUUUUGUUUUUAUAUUUUGAAAACUAUAUUCACUUUGUUUCCU